GGGGUUGUAGCUCAGUGGUAGAGCACUUGCCUUGCAUGCAUGGGCAAUGGGCUCAAUCCUCAGCACCA
rnacentral:tRNA from 1 species